rnacentral:rRNA from 1 species
GACGAACCGUGCGAACGUUGUUCGGAUUCACUGGGCUUAAAGGGCGCGUAGGCGGCCGCCCAAGUCGGGGGUGAAAUCUUCCCGCUUAACGGGAAAAUAGCUUCCGAUACUGGGCGGCUGGAGGGAGGUAGGGGUGCGCGGAACUUCCGGUGGAGCGGUGAAAUGCGUAGAGAUCGGAAGGAACGCCGGUGGCGAAAGCGGCGCACUGGACCUUCGCUGACGCUGAGGCGCGAAAGCCAGGGGAGCAAACGGGAUUAGAAACCCCCGUAGUCC